AGUUGGCUGGAGAUAGUAGUGAUGGGGAGUAAGCUCCCUUUAGAUGGAGGCUCCCUUUUUUUUUUUUUUUUGGUGGAAAUGAAGGGGUGGGUCUAUGGUACAUCACCUGAGUUGUGGGGUAAAUGUAGAGAGUGUCAAUCAAAGGCAGAGCUCAGAGCUGGGAAGAAAGCUCUAGAUGGCGGCUGUGCCUUGGAGAGCGCGCUGAGCCUCCUGCCUUUUUCCCCCCUCUCUCCUCCGCCACUUUUGCGCAACUUUGUGUAACUUUUGGGCGUCCUCAAGGGGCUCCUGCGGCCCCUGGUCUCUUGUGGAGGCCAGUGCAAGGGGGAUCGUGCGUUUUUCGGGCAGAAAAGGAGCUUUGGGGGGACUUUUUUUCCCCCUCUCCCUUCGCCUGGUUAGAAAGAAACAGCCCAGGUCGUUGUUUUUCCCAGCUUGGAAGCCAUGGCGUACCUCCAUUUUUGUGCGCUCUCCUAAUGAGCUUUUUCCUCCGGAUCUUUUUUUUUCUCUCCUUUUUUUUUAAAUAUUCCUUUACGGCUUUAAUGAUUGCCGAUGGCAACUAAGCAAUUGCGGGAUCGUGUGGAUUAAUUUCGAAUGUGUUAUUUUUUAAAAGAAGGCGGAUUUUGUUUUUUUUUUCUUUCCUGCGUUGCGUUUGGAACGCUUCGGAAGCGAAUGUUUUCCCACGACUAGAAACCGGGUUGGGGCUGGCGUUGGAGCCUGGCUCAGUAAAUACCUGGGCACAGGACUUCAGCCCAAAUCCAGCCAUCCUUCUACCUUUCCCUUAAUAUUUUAAGAAUUGAAAGAUGUUGAGAAAUACGGACAAAAGCCAAGGAGAGGAGGGUUCAGUGCACAGCCAUGCAUCGAGGUUUUGAAUAUUUUUAUAAUUCUAAAAUACACAUACUUCAUGAGGGCUGUUUCUCAAUGUAUUAUAUACAUUACCAUUUGAAAUAAUGCCUUUUGUAAGGAAAUCCUUUGACGUAACAAGUACAAUGGAAGAGAGCACAUUUUAAAAUCAUAUGGAUUGACCCAUGAUUUUUGGAUGCUGGAGAAGCUGCUUUGAUUCUCAGAAAAACACAAAAAGGAACUUGGGUUUUUUUUUUAUUGCAUAAUUUUCAGAUCUUUGAAAUUCAACUCCAAAAGACAGUGGUUAAUAGUCAAAUUGCUGACAUUGUUAAAAAGUUGGUUUUGAAAUUAGCAUGCCAAUAUCCACAUUAAAAGAACAUAAUUCAUUUUUUUUUACAAAUUCAAAGAGGAGAUUCAACACUGAUGAGAACAGCUCUCUAUUGCAAACAACAGGAGUGAGUUGAAUGAAAAGAGAUUAGAUUAACCAGCCCUUUUACCUUUCCUCCUCUAUUCUCUUGGGUAUAUUAUUUGCAUAGCAUCCACACUUGAAGUUUUGCUUUCUUGGUAAUAAAGGAGUACUACAUCAAGCAAAAUGUUAACACCCAACUGAAUUAAAAUAAGACACUCAUAUUAAUAGCAGUUCACAUGAACUGUGAAAGCAUAACUCAGCCUUGUUUGAAAGUUUAUAUAAAGCUUAUUUUCUGAAUUGCAACUACUCUUCAUACUGUGUAAAAUGAACUUUUUUGAGGGGGGGGUGGAGUUAAAGAUGUGUUUGUGCAGAAAUUGUUUUAGCAAGACAUCCUGGAAGUUCAUUUGAAACUUCCUGUCUAUAAGACUGGGGGCAGAACAGCACAGCACCUAAUCCAUUUGUGACAUCAUUCGUUUGAGAUGGGUGUGAAGUUGGGUGGGAGCCAGAUAUACUUAAAAGAUGGGUGUAACAAAUGUAAAUUUUAGAAAAAAACUUUUCUUUGCCCCUCAAUGUCAAAAACCACCAUUUUAAGUGCCUCCCACUUGCUUAUAAAUGCAAACAUCCAUUCUACAAAGAACCCAUUCUUCCUGUGAAUAGAUCAGGUAAUUCUUUAUUGAAGUAAAAGUUGCAUUAAACCCCCCCACUUCACAGCUUCAAAGGAUAAAUCUGGCUAAUGGUGUCUGGAAUACCCCUUAGUAUUCAAACACUAAUGGAAAUUCAAGCACUAAUGGAAAAGUUUUUACAUUAUAGCUUGCUGAGAUGAGCUUCACAUCCAUGUUCAUCUACAACCUGGUACGUUACAAGUGGUCAAAAUUAACUCUUUUUCUAAUCCUGGAAGAUUGUUUUAAAUAACUGAGCAUGACCAAGCUGUUUCACUUAAGUUUAAAUAUGGCAGAAAAGUACUUUAGAUGUUGCAAGCGAAACAUCUGAGAUAGUCCAUGAAGAAUGUUGAGUUUUUAAAAGAUGUCAUUGCUUUUCUUCUAAAACAGAAUUCAUGCUCAAGAUGGAAUGUACCAAGUCCUUAAAAAAAAUGAUGCAAAGCCUGCACUCAAAAGGAGCUGCUUUUAGGAUGUUUCAUUAAAGUCACACAAACACAUUUGUACCAUUAAUUGAUUGCAUUCCUACAUCACUUUCUAGCAGUGCUUUUUCUGAAGGGUUUACAGUGUCAAAUGCACAAUGGAAUCAUGGUAACUUUGAAGAGCAGAAAGGCAACCCUAAAUUAAAAUUUUAUUUGUGCAGCCUAAGCAAGGGGCGUACCCCAAUGGUCUAGGCUUGUAAACUUGAUGAGUCUUGGUGUGUUAAUCAAAGUUCUUUUUUAAAUGAAGAUGUUCACCUGCUCCAAAAAGCAAGGACAAGAAUGCCCAUAUGUAUUGGCAUAGAAAAGGGGUUCUGUAAAUAAGGAGCUUCUGCUAUAAAUAUAUAAACCUCAGAAUAUUGCAAGUAGUGGCCUUUCCUUAUUUCUGUAAAAGUUUGAGCUAGAAAUUGUACCCAAGUACCCAGGACUGCAUUCUCAUUCUCGCCCCAAAACAUAUUUUUCCCCCGGCUCCCAAGUCUGAAUUCAGUGCGGAUUUGCAGUUAGAAUGGCCUAUGCCAUCAAACCAGUGUUGGGUCAGAUGCCUUGGACUGAGCCAAGAUGUUAAAGACUCUUCCCUUCAGGUUAUAGCAAGGAUAAGGUCUUCUGUUUUUCUCUGCUCCUCCACCCAUUGUGGAAUGCCUUGAGACAAUGCAGGGUCAAACCCUGGCUGCUAAAUGCAUACUCCUCUCCCAGUUGAGGUCCUUGGAGUAGUCUUGCAAGCACUCUCACAUUCAUGCAGCCCUGGCUCCCACUAAGUGCUCAGCUAGUGGCAGCCAUUUUAUGAAGCAACCUUCGCACAAAGGAGGAUUAUUUAAAGUAGGAGAGGCGAAGACCAAGGCAGGGAGAGGAGGAGGAGGAGAGGGUGAUGUUUAGAGAGUUGAGGAUUGCUGACAUUCUGCCCGAUGCCAGCUGUUCGGGCAGUGGAGAAGGAGAAUGGAGGAGAAGGAAAAGAAAAAAAAGCAUUAGGCAUUUUCACUGCAGGGCUGGAUUGUCACAAAAUGGCUGUUCUUUUGUGCCGCAGAGGCUGACAGACACAUACUG